rnacentral:lncRNA from 1 species
GAGCGUACUAGGUGUAACACCUCAAAUUUCAAGACAUAUUUUUUUCAUUUUUAUUCUUAAAAUAUUACUCAUAAAUUCCAGUCAUCACAAAAAUUAUAAGUUAUUAUCAAACAAUAUUAGAGUAUCCCAAAAUCUUCAAGUCUCCAUAAGUCGACGGAUGUGUACAAUCAUGCCUCCUCCUUCCAGGAAUCUACAGAAGUACCUGAAACACAUUUAACUCAACACGGUAAGCACGAAGCUUAGUGAGUUCCACAAAAUACCACACACAUAAAUAAUUAACCUCUCAUGGCUAUGUCUCGAUUUGGACCUUCCGGUCAUGUGUCUCAAUGAAGACCCUCCGGUCUCACGCCUUAGUAUGGACCCUCUAGUCCGGUAUCUCAUUGAGGACCCUGCGAUCUCACAACUCGGUUUGGACCCUUUGGUUCUAACUCAAUAGGGCAAAAAAUAAUAUACAACAUAAAUCACAAAGACCAAAUGAAUGACAUCACAUAACUCAGUAUAAGCACAUAAGACUCUUCGGUCAAUAACUCAAAUAAGACCCUUCGGUCACACAUAUUACCACUCAGCUAAGUAUAGUAAGAAGACUCACCUCGUAAGUAAGCAAGUAUGUCCCGUACUCAACGGUAGGCCUAGACUCCGCCUACAUAUAUCAUAAUCAUUUCUAAUUAACAAUUUAUAAUAACAACUCCAAGGAUGUUAAACUAUUCCUUUACUAACUCUCGGAAAGGGUGAAAGACCAUUACCCCUCCAUGGUCUUCUAAGUCCAUAACUUGACCAAACCCUAAAAGUUAACGGAUGUCAACCCUCAAGUCAACAGUCCAUGUUGACCCAACUCGUCGAGUGCAUCUAUGCAACUCGUCAAGUUCCUUUGUUUCUCUGAAAUAUCAAGAAAAUCCAACUCAACUCGCUGAGUUGUCUCACCAACUCGCCGAGUUUGUAACGCGUCCAGACUAUCAGGGAAAACCCUAACCAACUCGUCAAGUUCCUUUGGCUCAACCACUCAUUCAGACACUUUUAAGCGAGACUAAGGCCCCAAACUCUAGAUCUAGCCUUCUAAGGAUGAAAUACCACGUAAAUAUGCAUGCUUUACGUCCAUGCAUGGCAUCUAGGGCUAAGUUUGCCAACACAAAGCUCAACAAAGGGUUUAAGGCCUGGAAGUUGGCCAAAGCUUGAAUCUUUAGGCUUAAGGGACCUAGUAUUGUCCAGAUUUGAAGUCUCAUCUUUAAAACAUGCUCAAAAUCAAUAAUGACUCAAGGAAAUAUUAAAAUGGCCAAAACUCUCUAAUGGAGAGAUCUAGCACUCAAGUGAUCAAGAUAGUGGCUUUUUACCUCCUAAUGGCCGCUAACACUGAAAAUGCCGGAUCCAACGACUCCUUCUUGUUCCAAGCCUUUUACUCCUCAAGCCCCUUCAAAGAAUGCACCAAAAUACACACUUUUAGCCUCACUCUCUCUCACAGUGGAUGAUAGCUUGAUUAGGGUUUCUCUCAGGGUGAUAAGGUGAUGAGGGAGGCGAGGUAAAGGACUUAAGGUCCUUUAAAUAUGGUGCAAACCCUGAAACUUAGGGUUUUCUCACUCAGCUCCUACUCGUCGAGUUGACUCUAAAACCCGCACGGUUAUCUCAAUUGCUACUCGAUGGGUUGGAUAGGAACCAUUUAUGCAAUUUACUCUUGGAUCUAACAAUAGAUUGAUUUAUGAUAUAUGUUGUUUGCAAC